rnacentral:rRNA from 1 species
UACGUAGGGGGCUAGCGUUGUCCGGAAUCAUUGGGCGUAAAGAGCGUGUAGGCGGUCCGGUAAGUCCGCUGUAAAAGUCAAAGGCUCAACCUUUGAAUGUCAGUGGAUACUGCCGGGCUAGAGUCCGGAAGAGGCGAGUGGAACUCCUGGUGUAGCGGUGGAAUGCGCAGAUAUCAGGAAGAACACCAACGGCGAAGGCAGCUCGCUGGGACGGUACUGACGCUGAGACGCGAAAGCGUGGGGAGCGAACAGG